GAUGAACGCUGGCGGCGUGCCUAAUACAUGCAAGUCGAGCGAACAGACGAGGAGCUUGCUCCUCUGACGUUAGCGGCGGACGGGUGAGUAACACGUGGAUAACCUACCUAUAAGACUGGGAUAACUUCGGGAAACCGGAGCUAAUACCGGAUAAUAUAUUGAACCGCAUGGUUCAAUAGUGAAAGACGGUUUUGCUGUCACUUAUAGAUGGAUCCGCGCCGCAUUAGCUAGUUGGUAAGGUAACGGCUUACCAAGGCAACGAUGCGUAGCCGACCUGAGAGGGGGAUCGGCCACCCCGGAACUGAGACACGGUCCAGACUCCUACGGGAGGCAGCAGUAGGGAAUCUUCCGCAAUGGGCGAAAGCCUGACGGAGCAACGCCGCGUGAGUGAUGAAGGUCUUCGGAUCGUAAAACUCUGUUAUUAGGGAAGAACAAAUGUGUAAGUAACUAUGCACGUCUUGACGGUACCUAAUCAGAAAGCCACGGCUAACUACGUG
rnacentral:rRNA from 1 species